GCUCCUCUGUCCAGGGGAUUCUCCAGGCAAGUGUACUGGAGUGGGUUGCCAUGCCCUUCUCCAGGGCAUCUUCCCCACCCAGGGAUUUUGCCCUGCAAAUCCAACUGUGCUGAGAGCCUACACCCCUCUGCUCUUCUAUACUCUUCUGGGCAGCCCCUCGAGAAGGUUGCUAUCCCCAUCUUGCUGAUGAGGAAAACUGAGGCUUCAAAGCAGCAGGGGUUUUGCCUAAGAUCACUGCGGGUGACACAAGGGUCUACCGGACUCAAGGCCCCAAGCUCUUUGUCUCGCACCAAUGCUGUCAUUAUUCCUUUGGGCUGAUGGUUGAGGGCACAAACUCAGGGAACCAAGCCAUUUGGAACACAUCCCACUCUCCCUGUGUGACCUUGGGCAAGUUGCUCAGCGUCUCUGGGCCUCAGCUGCCUCACCUGUAAAAUGAGAAGGAAAUGUGUUCAUGCACGUCAGCCUCUCAGAGCAGCCCUCCUCCUGUGUUACUAAGUAUAGAUAUCAUUUAUUCUCUGUAUCUGAUUGCACCGUGGGUGGUCGUGACUGUAUCUAUCUCCCCCAUUAGACUGGAACUUCUGGAGGGCAGGGGUGAAAAUAACUUACAGCUGCAUGGUAGACACCACCCCACUCCCAGCCCACCUCUCUCGCCCACCACACCCUGCCCCCACCCUCCAACUCAGGCCCAUUUAGAAGGAGAUCUCUGUGUUUGCAGAAUGAUACAGAAAGGAAUUAGAGCUGUCUCCUUUGGCUCUGGGGUCUUAGAAAGCCAGGGAAGAGAGAGUCAGGCCAAAAGAACAGUGGCUGGGGUGCUGACUCCCUGCCCUGGGCCUUGAGGCCGCCCCUGGUUCCCAGAACCCCGACAAGCAUCUCCUUGUCUUCCUGGGACUCCUGGUUCUGGGCGCCUUGUCCUGCCCUGUUCCCCACAGCUCUGCACACAGCUCUUGGCGAGAGUGGCCAGGGCACUGGAGAGAGACUUUUGGAUGGACGGAAGUGCUUUGCAUUCUAACGAUUAUCCCUGUCUUCCCUGGAGACUUCUAGAACUUUCAGAUUGAAAGGCAUCCGAGAGGCCAUCUUGUUCAAACCCGUGCCUCCAGUUGCCUUACUCAAAUCUUCCUGUUCUCCUGCCAAGGCCAGAAACUCCUAAAGGGCCAGGGCAUGUCUUUACUGGUUUUGCUUCCCUGGAACCUAAUGUGGUGGUAUCUCAGAUGAGAAUUCUCUGGAUGAAGAUCCUGAGACAGGCAGUCAUGUGCACAUGGUCACAAAAACGCUGAGCGGAGAGGAAAAUGACACGAAGCAGUGCCGGAUCCUGAAACCCUGAACGGCUGAAACACUUCCCAGCUCUCCCUGGGACUGGGCGGUUACUGGCAUUUUAAGAGCCGGAGGGAAGUUGUAACCACCGUGGGGGUAACACACACGUGAAAAAAUGUGAGGCCAGACAGGCCGGGCAAAUAAAUAACCCGGUGCCGGCAAUGGGAGGCGUGCCUGGAGUUUUAGCGCAGGGUUGUAAAAGUUGACAGGAGCCGUUUGGACUGGAAAGGGCCGUGUGGGUAUCGCUGCCAGGCUUUGCCAAGCUCCCCGGCUGUUGAAUACUCCAAAACCGAAUAGAUAAAAAAGAAAACAACAGCCACAAAAGGAAAAAAAAAAAAAAAUCGCAACACGAAACCACCCACGCAGCGUCCACCCACUCCUUCCCCUCCCGGAGCCUGUUGUGCGCCUGUGAUAACAUUGCGUGCUGCGAGCUCUCCUUUAUUUAGAUAAGGUGUCCGCGGCCGCUGCUCUUGGCCGCCAGCCAGCUUUCUGUCUCCCACUUGGGGCUUUAGCGCCACACAGGAGACGCGACUCUCUGAUGCUGCCGGCCCGAGUGUCAGCCUCACCCGGAGGGUCCCCGCGGCUUUGUGUUCCCAGAACGAUGAUUUGUUUGACAACGGGCUUUCCUUCCAGACUGUUCUUCCAGCCUGGCACAACGCGUGGGUCCUCAGACACAGACGGGGCCGUAGAGAGGCGGAGCCGGCACCUCUGGCCACGGGGUCGGGCGGUUGCUUGAUGGUGAAAGGCCACGUAAAGGAGACCCAGACACGGUCGAAGGCCAGAAGGAUCUUUGGUUUACAUGGACUAACUGAAGCGUUUAUGCUCCUCAGGCCUGAAAAACAAAUAAACCAUGAGAUGAACCUUGAACCCACCUUCCUGGAUAACAGAUUUCAAAGAUGUAUGUCGUGCAGAUAAGAAGUACAGAAAGUAGUUGUUCUUCAGAAGCCACGAGUGCCUGUCACUUCCAAAAUAACUGUUUUCGCGUAUCUGGGUCCUCCCCAUGAGUCCAGAGAGAGAAAAUGUGCUUCUGAACAGCCUGGACAAAUCAGGAAACGGGCAUGUAUCUGGAGAACGUGCCAGUGAUUCCACUAACGAGGUCCAAAGUGGAACUGGUGCUCUGGAUUCUGUGGACGUGAAGCUAUGGGGCUGAGUAACAGCUGGUUGCUGGCAAGCCACGGACAGAAGGGGACUGAGCUGGAGGCUGCAGAGGACCACGUCUGCCGCAGCGGAUGGCUCAGGCAGUGGACGUUUUGUGGUCCGGCUUGGUUUGUCCUAGUUAAUAAGCGAGGCUGAGUUCAUCUGAGGCUUAUCCUGGGCUGGCCAGUGCCCUGGCGGGCAGCACAAUGAAGCUUAAUGACCAGCACUGCAGGACCGAGGCUGAGCCCCAAACAAGCCAUGAGCGUUAGGCCCCCUGCAAGUCGACAGCUGUGAUGGCUGCUGGUUACCAGGACGCAGGGCCUGAGUGGAGGAGGAAAUCAUGAUGGAGAAAUAAGACCAGAAUUCUCCUCCGCGGGCCUGGGAGAAUGGAGCAAAUCGAAAACACUGGGCUGGGCUAGGGUCAGACCAGGUUCCAGACACACAGCCGGGGGCCUGAAGAACAGGGAGGGGGCAACCAGGCCCAGAGGAAAAGAGGGAUUUAAGCUCCUUAAGGGAGGGGGAGGAUGUGACAGACAUGGAGGAGCAGAGCCCCCUCUAGGAAGGAUUUGCUGCCCAUUCAGGCUCGGCCACAGCAGCUGAGAACACCUCACCCAGAGGCCCCUCUCCUGGGAGACCCCCAUCUGGUGGCUGAGCUGGUGUGGGGUGGGGCCAUUAUAAAGUGUUAGUUGCUCAGUUGUGUCCAACUCUUUGAGAGCCCCCCUGGACUGUAGCUCACCAGGCUCCUCUGUCCAUGGAAUUUUCCAGGCAAAAAUACUGGAGUGAGUUGCCAUUUCCUUCUCCAGGGGAUCUUUCCUACCCAGGGAUUAAACCCGGGUCUCCUGCAUUGCAGGCAGAUUUUUCUUUUUUUAACCCGCUGAGCCACCAGGAAAGCCUUUAUAAAGACCUGGCCAUUUUGGCUCCAGGCAGGACACUGUCCUGGACAUGCCUCAUGCCCCAGCUCUCUCCUCCAGGUUGGCUGAGUCUGUCAGGCUUGCAUUUCAACUCGACUCCCUGCUCUGUCCAGUCCUGCUCCCCUCCACCCCCUUCCUUUCAGAGGGCUUGAUCCCUCCCAAACACGCCUCUGCCCCCAACUCCAUCUCAGCAUCCGCUUCCGGGGAACCCAGCCUGUGACAGAGGGUCACCUAUACCUUGGAUCAUGGGUUCCAUCCUAGGGACCAGUAGGACUCCAGAUGGCAUUUUAUUCUGGGGCUUUGUCCCCUUUCCUUUAAACGGUUUCCAAAGUUUCCUCCGCUGACUGGGUUUUCUCUCCACUUGCUUUCAGAGAUUAUCCCAAACACAAUCGACUCCUUCGUUAGGGCAACUCCCCCACUGGUCCUCUGCAUGAAUGUUUUUUCACUCCCUCUCACCCUGCCCUCUGCCCUUCCGCCUCAGACACCCUGCCCCCAACCCGAGUCCAGCCCAGUCCCAUAAAGGACUCCUCUGCCCACUCCUGUCUGCUCUCUUCUUGGGCUGGUUCCUGAUGGUUGUGGCUCUCUGCCAGGGUCAGUCAUAAGGUGUCCCUCGGCACACAAAACCCCAUCCUCUGCCAGACACCGGGCCUUUAUUGUUGGCGUGGGGACAAGCCAAAUCACUUGGCAAGGUCCACACCGGCCCUGAGUCACCGUCUCAUCACUGUGGCCAUCGCUGCUGCCUCUGUCUCCCCUCCUGGGCUCUCAGUCCUGGUGGUGUUUGCUGCCCGCUUCCCCUGGCACAGACGGGGCCAGCCUAGGAACCCCAGAUGUCACCUCUUGAGGGCCCCUGGGAGGCCCAGCUCAUCAGCCGGCAACUUCUCUGACCUUCUUGGCAGCCAACAGCAGAAGCCUAAUUAGUGGCUCAGGAUCUCCUCCCUCGCCCCCCUUUGCCUCCCCCCUUUCCCGGCGGCUCCUUUCCUCCACCAGGAGAGGGGUGGGGCUCACCUUUCCCUCCAGUCGAAGGUCACUGAGACUGGGUUUUUUUUUAGACAUUGCACUGCAAGGGUGUGAGAGGAGAUUUCCAGACUGUGCCCCCAGCUCCCACCCCUAGUCACAGCCAGUUGGAUUGAAUUCGCCAUGGAUUUAUUGUACACUGUUCGGUGGCGGUGGGUGCCACUGGCUAGCAGGAAGUGAUCCCCAUUGUUAGAGAACUUAGGGAUGGGAAGGCACUGCCAAAGUAUGGAGUGACCUGUUUCAAGGCUCGCUAGUCACCCAGGGGCACAAGAGGGUCAAACUGAGGGCCAGGGGACAGGCUGGCCCAGGCCACCGGCAGACCUCUGGGGGACCCAGGGGGAUCUCCCCUCACCCAGACCUGAGACAGACUCCUGAAUGCUUCUCUCUGCUUCAUUUACACAAACAAUCAAAAAGCCAACCCAGCCCAAAUAAAAUGCCCACAUUUUAUGGCUUGCAGUGUUUUAGUUCUAAUUUGGCUUCAUUUGGAAAAGAGGUUUUACUAAGUGGCAUAAAUUGAGCCUAACAAAUUUUAAAACUAAAACAGCAGCACCCUAAAUGUUUAAAACUGUAAUUGGAGAGAGAUAAAAAGUGAGUUGUCGGGGAGGGGUGGUGAGAGAGGCAGAAGAAGGGGGAGGGGAAGAAAUUCAAUUUCCGUUCUACUUGGCAGGAGGUUAAUUUCCUGCUCCCCCUCCCCCUGGGCCCCAGCCCUGUCCCCUCCCCCACUUAGAGAAUGCACCCAGAAGGUUCCAGAAGCAAUGCCAGUGCCCUGCCGGAUGUCUUGUAUGCAGUGGGUGCUUAGGAAAGACUGGGUGAACUCACUCUUUUCUCUGAUGUGUCUGUGGACAAUGGGACAAUGGGGACUCCUUUCAGGGGACCCCUUUGCCCCCACAGAAGGGGGUCUGCAAGUUCCUUCCAGGGUGGGAUGGGGGCGGGGUGG